rnacentral:rRNA from 1 species
ACGGAGGGUGCAAGCGUUAAUCGGAAUCACUGGGCGUAAAGCGCGCGUAGGCGGUCUUUUAAGUCGGACGUGAAAGCCCUCGGCUCAACCGGGGAACUGCGUUCGAAACUGGGAGACUUGAGUCCUGGAGAGGGUGGCGGAAUUCCGGGUGUAGGAGUGAAAUCCGUAGAUAUCCGGAGGAACACCGGUGGCGAAGGCGGCCACCUGGACAGGUACUGACGCUGAGGCGCGAAAGCGUGGGGAGCAAACAG